AUUGAACACUGGCGGCAUGCCUUACACAUGCAAGUCGAACGGUAACAGGUCUUCGGAUGCUGACGAGUGGCGAACGGGUGAGUAAUACAUCGGAACGUGCCCGAGAGUGGGGGAUAACGAAGCGAAAGCUUUGCUAAUACCGCAUACGGUCUCAGGAUGAAAGCAGGGGACCGCAAGGCCUUGCGCUCACGGAGCGGCCGAUGGCAGAUUAGGUAGUUGGUGGGAUAAAAGCUUACCAAGCCGACGAUCUGUAGCUGGUCUGAGAGGACGACCCGCCACACUGGGACUGAGACACGGCCCAGACUCCUACGGGAGGCAGCAGUGGGGAAUUUUGGACAAUGGGCGCAAGCCUGAUCCAGCCAUGCCGCGUGCAGGAUGAAGGCCUUCGGGUUGUAAACUGCUUUUGUACGGAACGAAAAGACUCCUUCUAAUAAAGGAGGUCCAUGACGGUACCGUAAGAAUAAGCACCGGCUAACUACGUGCCAGCCGCCGCAGUAACAC
rnacentral:rRNA from 1 species